UCCAUCCUUGUCUAAAAAAAAAAACCAUUCUUCCAUCCCCACGGCCGGCCGCCCCCUCGCCGGCGGCUGCUGCCAGCGCAGUCCGGCGUCUCGCAGCGGUGGUCACCAGACUCCGGCCCCAUCAUCGCCUCCCUCCUCUGCUCGCCCGCCCCCACUCCACGCCUUCCCUUGCCGCCUGCCGCCCGCUCGACUCCCUCCUCUCCUCGCCGCGCCCUCCCACGCCCGCACUCCUCCUCUGUCCUCUCCCUCCCCGAAUGCCACCGCUUUCCGCCCCCCUCCGUGCCAAGCAAGCCUCUUUCGUGCUCCGACUCUUCCCCCGCCCAGGCAGCCGGGCUCCCUCGCCUCCCUCGCCUCCCUCGCCGCGUUCAACUCCCCCCUUGGCCGCGCUCGCCCGCGUCUGUCCGUGACCUCCCUGGCACGAGCCAGCUCUUUUCCUCCAUGCGGGACGCCGCCGUCCGGCCCGGCGUCGUCACGCCCGGCAUACGCGUCAUGGGGCUCUGCCAAGCCGGCCGCGCUCAGGGCGCUCGACGGAAUGCCCGGCCAAAACUCUGCCGUUCGCCCGGCUCGGAUGUCGUCAUUCAUGCUGAACAAGGUCGUGGAUGGGAUGUGUGAGAGCGGGAGGACUCAGGCGGCCGUUGCGUUCACGGAGGAGGACUACUGCUUGGCUGAUGUUGCGGCCGACGGAUCCUGCCGUGCGGGUAAUGAGACUGCUGCUUGGCUUUCCAGGCGGCGGAGAGGAUGGAGAAGGAGAGCUCUCCUCCACAAUAGGAAUGUGGUUUUGUUCCAUGAGGUGGUGGAUGAAGGGCACUCACCAGAUGCAGUCAUGUAUUUUUCCAUGAUAUAGGGAUUCUUUAGCAGGAGGAAUAGGUGCAAAGUAGGAGAUUUCUCAACUGUGGAUGAGUUAUUGGGGAAGAUGAUGGAUAUUGCAAAGUUGGUAAAAUGAUGAGGCAUUGAUGAUUUUCUGGUCCAUGGAUGAAUCCGCAAAUGCAGAGAGUAGCAUACGAUGGACGUAAUUUUCUGUUGCAUCGAAAAGCAAGUUAACUCGGCGUAUGCAGUAGCAACUACCAACCAUUCAUACUGGAGCAAAGGUCCAAGUAUAGAUUGGACAAGAAGCAGGGUGAUGCCCUUUUUUUCUGCCAACGCUGGAAGUGAGGUCCAUAACAAAGAUGCAAGCAGUCUAUCUAAAGCAAUUGCAUCUACAGGUCCAUCACACCAAACCGUCGGAAAGAUUCUAUAAAGUUCAAAUUUACCAUGCAUGUUGAGUGAACAGGUGCAGAAUUGGACAAACAUAAAUAUAGCUAGUGAAUGGUACAUGUCUUAAAAGGAAAGGAGACCUCAUCCUCAUCCUGGUCGGCGAGGAUCUUGGAGCAGUUGAAGCAGACGCAGCGCAUGAUGGAGAGCACGGUCUUGAUGAAGCCGAUGUGGAACAUGGGCUUUGCGAGCUCGAGGUGGCCGAAGUGGCCCGGGCACUCGGCCAUCCCGGCCAUGCAUGUCUCGCACUUGGUCCUGCGGUCAAUGGUGCCCAGGCGAG